rnacentral:misc_RNA from 1 species
AAGUCGUAACAAGGUUUCCGUAGGUGAACCUGCGGAAGGAUCAUUAACACGUAUCCAAACGUUAAACCCCCCUGUGAACCUUCACCUGUACUCGUACGUCCGUUAGAAAAAGCAGCAGAACAGUUUUCGAUUCAGGGAUGUCUGCAAGGAGCGUGCAUGUUGUGCGAGCAAGUGGCCUGGCAUCCCCAAGCAGUUAGUGUCUGAAAGUGUCAUUAACUGUGUAAGGAUGACGCAGUCACGAUCGUUGGAGGCCCACACGGCCGACGACCGGGUCACUGGGCGCAAGCCCCCCUAUAACAAACGCUGCUAAUCGCGGCCGCGAUAAUACGCAGUCGACCAAAAACCGAACAACUGUUAACAAUGGAUAUCUUGGUUCUC